UAAGGAAUAUUGGUCAAUGGACGCAAGUCUGAACCAGCCAUGCCGCGUGAAGGAUGAAGGUCCUUUGGAUUGUAAACUUCUUUUAUCUGGGACGAAAACGGGAUUUUUAUCUCAAUUGACGGUACCAGAGGAAUAAGCACCGGCUAACUCCGUGCCAGCAGCCGCGGUAAUACGGAGGGUGCGAGCGUUAUCCGGAUUUACUGGGUUUAAAGAGUGCGUAGGUGGGCUUAUAAGUCAGUGGUGAAAUCUCCGAGCUUAACUUGGAAACUGCCGUUGAUACUAUAGGUCUUGAAUUAUCUGGAUGUAAUCGGAAUAUGUAAUGUAGCGGUGAAAUGCUUAGAUAUAACAUAGAACACCAAUUGCGAAGGCAGCUUACUACAUAUAAAUUGACGCUGAGGCACGAAAGCGUGGGGAUCAAACA
rnacentral:rRNA from 1 species